rnacentral:tRNA from 1 species
GCCCGGAUGGCGGAACGGUAGACGCUGUGGACUUAAAAUCCAUUGCCAGUAAUGGCGUGAGGGUUCGAUUCCCUCUCUGGGCACCA